rnacentral:snRNA from 1 species
AGCUUUGCGCAGUGGCAGUAUCGUAGCCAAUGAGGUUUAUCCGAGGUGCGAUUAUUGCUAAUUGAAAACUUUUCCCAAUACCCCGCUGUGACGACUUGAAAUAUAGUCGGCAUUGGCUAGAAAAAAAAAAAUAAAAAAUU